rnacentral:rRNA from 1 species
ACUGAACGCUGGCGGCAGGCCUAACACAUGCAAGUCGAGCGGUAGAGAGAUGCUUGCAUCUCUUGAGAGCGGCGGACGGGUGAGUAAUGCCUAGGAAUCUGCCUAGUGGUGGGGGAUAACGUUCGGAAACGGACGCUAAUACCGCAUACGUCCUACGGGAGAAAGCGGGGGAUCUUCGGACCUCGCGCCAUUAGAUGAGCCUAGGUCGGAUUAGCUAGUUGGUGAGGUAAUGGCUCACCAAGGCGACGAUCCGUAACUGGUCUGAGAGGAUGAUCAGUCACACUGGAACUGAGACACGGUCCAGACUCCUACGGGGGGCAGCAGUGGGGAAUAUUGGACAAUGGCGAAAGCCUGAUCCAGCCAUGCCGCGUGUGUGAAGAAGGUCUUCGGAUUGUAAAGCACUUUAAGUUGGGUAGGAAGGUAGGUAACCUAAUACGUUGCUACUUUGACGUUACCGACAAGAAUAAGAC